GAACCUCACAACUCAGGGCUCCAAAGUAACAGUAGCAAUUUAAUUUCGAAUACAAUACAACACUCUACAGUUGGCAACAAUAUUACACAAACUGUCCAAAAACCUAGCCUUACUCCGCCUGAAUUCACACACCGUACUGUUUCUAACUUCGCCUCGUAAUGGUCAUAUUGCGAGGU
rnacentral:sRNA from 1 species